UACGUAGGGUGCGAGCGUGUCCGGAAUUACUGGGCGUAAAGAGCUCGUAGGUGGUUUGUCGCGUUGUUCGUGAAAACCGGGGGCUUAACCCUCGGCGUGCGGGCGAUACGGGCAGACUUGAGUACUGCAGGGGAGACUGGAAUUCCUGGUGUAGCGGUGAAAUGCGCAGAUAUCAGGAGGAACACCGGUGGCGAAGGCGGGUCUCUGGGCCGAAACUGACGCUGGAGGAGCGAAAGCCGUGGGGAGCAAACAGG
rnacentral:rRNA from 1 species